AAUGUGGCCAAGGCAGACAGUACUGCAGAAGUGAGGUAAGCCUGCAUUUUCAGACCCAGAACCGUGGCCUGCCUCAGUGCCACCCACAUGGGAGCUGUGGUUACCAGUCUGCAGGCAGCUCCGGGAGAGGCUGACAGAGUGGGCCCCCAUGUGGAAGAAAGAGGCUCCAAAAUGAAUCACAACUGGCGGGUCUGACGUCGGGCCUUUGCAGAUGCUGUUCCCCUGCCUGGAGCGCACUUAUCACAAGGUCCAGUCCUCUUCUUCUAGGUCUCAGUUUGAGUAUUGCCUCCUCACCCAUGCCCCUUCUUAUCGCUCCCUUACUCUGUCUCAGGCCCCGAUCCCUGUGGCCGGAAUGUCAAAGGACAAUGACUACUUUGUGGGUUUCCGUAUAGCUCUCCUUUCCCACACAUUCCCUGGGAUGCUCACUGGGGAAAGAGACCAGGCCUCUCUGCUGAAGCAGCAGUGCCUGGAGCACAGGAGGCCCUCCAUUUAGUGAUGAGGUGAAUAAAGAAUGAAUGACUGCCUGCCCUGUGCCAUCCCAGGGCACACCUCCUUGGUAUGUCACAUAUUUUUUCUUCCAUCUGGAUGCGCCCUCCUCGGUCUGGCUCUUCCUAUUUCUUCACGCUGCAAAAUUCGACCCUGGACACUUUGGGGGCGUCUGUUCCUGAAGAUGCCUCAGCAGCCCCCACACACCUGGGAUGAGUAUCAAGUGCUUUGUUGAUCCCAUGCUGUGUGCUCAGGGAGACAAGGCAUGCACGCACGGGGCUGUAUCCACCUGCAGCAGCUGGUGAAUGACUGCAGAAGGCAGCCCCAGCCCACAUGCUGCUACUUCAGUGUGACUGCCACUCCUCUCACUGAGAGUCCGGGGGCGUAUUCCUUCCCCUUGACUGCUCUAACAAAUAAAGAAUGGCAGAAGUGA